rnacentral:rRNA from 1 species
AUUGACCGCUGGCGGCAGGCCUAACACAUGCAAGUCGAACGAGUGGCGGACGGGUGAGUAAUGUCUGGGAAACUGCCUGAUGGAGGGGGAUAACUACUGGAAACGGUAGCUAAUACCGCAUACCAUCAGAUGUGCCCAGAUGGGAUUAGCUUGUUGGUGGGGUAACGGCUCACCAAGGCGACGAUCCCUAGCUGGUCUGAGAGGAGGAUCAGCCACACGGGGACUGAGACACGGUCAAGACUCCGACGGGAGGCAGCAGUGGGGAAUAUUGCACAAUGGGCGCAAGCCUGAUGCAGCCAUGACGCGUGUAUGAAGAAGGCCUGCGGGUUGUAAAGUACUUGCAGCGGGGAGGCGUUACCCGCAGAAGAAGCACCGGCUAACUCCGUGCCAGCCGCCGCGGUAAUAC